GACGAACGCUGGCGGCGUGCUUAACACAUGCAAGUCGAACGAGGUGCUUGCACCUAGUGGCGAACGGGUGAGUAACACGUGAGCAACCUGCCCUUGGCUCUGGGAUAGCCUCCGGAAACGGGGAUUAAUACCGGACAUGACCCUGCUCUGCAUGGAGCGGGGUGGAAAGUUUUUCGGCCAGGGAGGGGCUCGCGGCCUAUCAGCUUGUUGGGGGGGUAACGGCCCACCAAGGCGACGACGGGUAGCCGGCCUGAGAGGGCGACCGGCCACACUGGGACUGAGACACGGCCCAGACUCCUACGGGAGGCAGCAGUGGGGAAUAUUGCACAAUGGGGGAAACCCUGAUGCAGCGACGCCGCGUGCGGGAUGAAGGCCUUCGGGUUGUAAACCGCUUUCAGCAGGGGCGAAUUCAAGACGGUA
rnacentral:rRNA from 1 species